UCUUGUGGAUAAGCAAAGAAAGUGGUUCCUUGAGAUGGAAUCUACUCCUUGUGAACAUGCUGUGAA
rnacentral:pre_miRNA from 1 species